GCAGAGCAUCCUACGGGAGGCAGCAGUGGGGAAUAUUGCACAAUGGGCGCAAGCCUGAUGCAGCCAUGCCGCGUGUAUGAAGAAGGCCUUCGGGUUGUAAAGUACUUUCAGCAGUGAGGAAGGUGGGUAUGUUAAUAGCAUACUCAUUUGACGUUAGCUGCAGAAGAAGCACCGGCUAACUCCGUGCCAGCAGCCGCGGUAAUACGGAGGGUGCGAGCGUUAAUCGGAAUUACUGGGCGUAAAGCGCAUGCAGGUGGUUUGUUAAGUCAGAUGUGAAAGCCCGGGGCUCAACCUCGGAAUUGCAUUUGAAACUGGCAAACUAGAGUACUGUAGAGGGGGUAGAAUUUCAGGUGUAGCGGUGAAAUGCGUAGAGAUCUGAAGGAAUACCGGUGGCGAAGGCGGCCCCCCUGGACAGAUACUGACACUCAGAUGCGAAAGCGUGGGGAGCAAACAGGAUUAGAUACCUGGUAG
rnacentral:rRNA from 1 species